ACUCCUACGGGAGGCAGCAGUAGGGAAUCUUCCACAAUGGGCGCAAGCCUGAUGGAGCAACACCGCGUGAGUGAAGAAGGGUUUCGGCUCGUAAAGCUCUGUUGUUAAAGAAGAACACGUAUGAGAGUAACUGUUCAUACGUUGACGGUAUUUAACCAGAAAGUCACGGCUAACUACGUGCCAGCAGCCGCGGUAAUACGUAGGUGGCAAGCGUUAUCCGGAUUUAUUGGGCGUAAAGAGAGUGCAGGCGGUUUUCUAAGUCUGAUGUGAAAGCCUUCGGCUUAACCGGAGAAGUGCAUCGGAAACUGGAUGACUUGAGUGCAGAAGAGGGUAGUGGAACUCCAUGUGUAGCGGUGGAAUGCGUAGAUAUAUGGAAGAACACCUGUGGCGAAGGCGGCUACCUGGUCUGCAACUGACGCUGAGACUCGAAAGCAUGGGUAGCGAACAGGAUUAGAUACCCUGGUAGGAUAGCG
rnacentral:rRNA from 1 species